rnacentral:tRNA from 1 species
GGAUUGUAGCUCAGUGGUAGAGCGCUUGCCUAGCACAUGUGAGGCACUGGGUUCAAUCCUCAGCACCA